CUGAUGAAACAAAAACCAGUAAGCUGGUUUACAGCGUACACUGUAGUCUACAGCACACAGGAGUAUUAGCUUAUUAUGUACACGUUGGUAAGCUGUCUUGUGACAACUGACGAAUUGAAACAAGUGACCGUGCUGUGUGUGCAACAGAGCGACAAACAUUACCUGUCCUUUUAUUAACUUCACAAGUAGUGCUGGUCCUAGCUGCUAGAACUGGACAUGCCAUGUAAGGACAUCAGGAGGAACAGUGACAAAAGGAGCUGUGUGAGGCAGUGGAUCCCUCAGCAGCUGGAUUAAAAAGAGCACAGUCUACAAUCUCAGAUCAACACGGCCCUGCCCUCCAGCACUAUCAGCAACAGGAGCAGCAGCUACCCCUCAACAGCAACAUUGUACCCCAUCAGCAGCAUUGUUUUCCCAGCUUAUUUAAAACCAUGUUGGGAUAGGCCCGGGGACCCUGAUGAGGACAAACACAACAGAAUGGAUUAAUAGAUGGAUGUCAUCCAAGUCUGCAGUUUUGAUCCAUACGUUUCACGACAUUAUGUCAUCCUUUUUCUCAUAUUUCCCCACACCAUGCAACUGGUUGCGCCGUUGGCUGCUCCUCCCUGACUGGAGUUUUUCCUUUCCUUUGAAAAGUGCUUGUUCAUUGGGCAUCAUCUGAUCUCUGUAAUACUGUAUGGUCUUUACAUUACAGUAAAGCAGUAAAGCACCUUAAGGUGACUGAC